rnacentral:rRNA from 1 species
GACGAACGCUGGCGGCGUGCUUAACACAUGCAAGUCGAACGGAAAGGCCCUGCUUUUGUGGGGUGCUCGAGUGGCGAACGGGUGAGUAACACGUGAGUAACCUGCCCUUGACUUUGGGAUAACUUCAGGAAACUGGGGCUAAUACCGGAUAGGAGCUCCUGCUGCAUGGUGGGGGUUGGAAAGUUUCGGCGGUUGGGGAUGGACUCGCGGCUUAUCAGCUUGUUGGUGGGGUAGUGGCUUACCAAGGCUUUGACGGGUAGCCGGCCUGAGAGGGUGACCGGUACAAUGGGAACUGGGAAACGGCCAGACUCCUACGGGAGGCAGCAGUGGGGAAUAUUGCACAAUGGGCGGAAGCCUGAUGCAGCAACGCCGCGUGCGGGAUGACGGCCUUCGGGUUGUAAACCGCUUUCGCCUGUGACGAAGCGUGAGUGACGGUAAUGGGUAAAGAAGCACCGGCUAACUACGUG